AUUCAGCUGACGAGUCCUAAAUAAGACGAAAAGUACAUCCUGCAU
rnacentral:hammerhead_ribozyme from 1 species